CCUACGGGAGGCAGCAGUGAGGAAUAUUGGUCAAUGGACGAGAGUCUGAACCAGCCAAGUAGCGUGAAGGAUGACUGCCCUAUGGGUUGUAAACUUCUUUUAUAUGGGAAUAAAAUGUUCCACGUGUGGGAUUUUGUAUGUACCAUAUGAAUAAGGAUCGGCUAACUCCGUGCCAGCAGCCGCGGUAAUACGGGGGAUCCGAGCGUUAUCCGGAUUUAUUGGGUUUAAAGGGAGCGUAGGUGGAUUGUUAAGUCAGUUGUGAAAGUUUGCGGCUCAACCGUAAAAUUGCAGUUGAAACUGGCAGUCUUGAGUACAGUAGAGGUGGGCGGAAUUCGUGGUGCAGCGGUGAAAUGCUUAGAUAUCACGAAGAACUCCGAUUGCGAAGGCAGUUCACUGGACUGCAACUGACACUGAGGCUCGAAAGUGUGGGUAUCAAACAGGAUUAGAUACCCCAGUAGUC
rnacentral:rRNA from 1 species